UGUAAUUGAGCAUUGACAUAUUACAUCAUGGUGUUAUGCCCUAAACAGGCCCUAUCUGUUUUAUAGUAUUUAUUUCACCAAAUACCACUGGAUAUUCAUAGAUUCCUCCUUUAGAGUCAAGCCGUCUGAAUAAAUGAGCAGGAUGCUGAGUCCCACAGGAACAAUUGAACCGGAUGUGAAUAUAGGGAAGAACUCAGGAAAGUUGUACAUGGAGUUGACAGUCAGCCACGUCACAUGGAGCAGGCACAUCUCUCAGCGUAUUUGAGAAUGAAGGUUGGUUCAAUCCUCAGAACUCACCGAUAAUGAAUAGCCAACUUCACUUAUAUUUUAGCAUACAUGUCAAGAAGACUCUCCCUUGAGACUCUCACCCAGAUUCUGACUCGGGACACAUCUUUCGAAAUGUGGAGCUUAAAAAGUACGGUGUGCCAUGUCAUAGCUGGCUUGGGAAGAAGCUUGGUUACCACUAGGGACGAUUAGCAAACAACAGCCACCCUCUUCUCCAUGACCUCAGCCCUGUCAUCCUCAUCCUCUGCCAUUGCUUCUGUGGAGCUGAGUUCUAUUCGCUCUGCUUGAAUGGUA